GUGCCCGCCCGAGAAGGCGGCGCUGGGAGCCGCUCAGAGCCCAGAGAAGCGGCGCGCGGCCAGGAGCCCCCGCUCCGCCACUGCCGUGCCUGCCUCCCGCAGCUGUCUGCCAUGCGCUCGCCGGGGCAGGGGCGCCCGGAGGGCGGCUAGAGCUGGGCCUGAGCCCGGGAACGCGCCUGAUCAGGGGUGGCGGAGCCGCGGUCCCCACAGCCGCCCCACCCGCGCCGCUGCCUCGCUGGGGCCCGGGCCCCCUUCCCGGUCCUUACUCCCCUGCUGGUGCCUCCCUCCUUGGCGCGCUUCCCACCUGCGAUCGGCGCCCUCUUCGCAGUCACGAACUCGCCAGCAGCUAGCAGCACUGACUAGUAGGAGGGCCCGCCGGAGGAGAGCCGCGCGGCCCACAGAAGCGGAACGCGCGUCGAGAGCGCCCUGUCCGCUCGCCCCAGACAGAUGCCCGGUUAUUCAUUACCGCGAGGCCUAGAGGAAAGAGUGGCUGCCGUCUUCCUGCCCACAGCCCGCCGGACCCUCCGUCGCGGCUGCCCGGUCCCCGGAGCCGCAGCCGCCGAGCCCGGCU
rnacentral:lncRNA from 1 species